rnacentral:rRNA from 1 species
UACGGGGGGGCAAGCGUUGUUCGGAAUUACUGGGCGUAAAGCGCGUGUAGGCGGCUCUUCAAGUCGAGUGUGAAAGCUCCAGGCUUAACCUGGGAAUUGCGCUCGAUACUGUUGAGCUAGAGUGUGGAAGGGGCUACUGGAAUUCCGUGUGCGCGGUGAAAUGCGUAGAUAUACGGAGGAACACCUGCGGCGAAGGCGGGUAGCUGGGCCAACACUGACGCUGAGACGCGAAAGCUAGGGGAGCAAACGGG